rnacentral:lncRNA from 1 species
UGCAUUUCUUGCCUAACCUUGCCACCGACUUGGCAACAUGUACCAAACUCUCCAUCAUCUCGGCACAAAUCAAUCUAAUGACGAAAUCGUCGUCCUCGGACACGAGUUUCUUGAUCCCUACGCAAUUGUUGAUCUCCUCUCUCAACCUGGAAACCUGCUUAUCACUCAGAGCAUGCCAUAGAUGAACUACUUUCGACAUUAAGCUCGAAACUUCCAGUGAUAGAACACCAAGAGGGAAUUUAUCG